AGCCGUCCUUGAAAUACCACCCUGGUUUGUUUGAGGUUCUAACCUUGGUCCGUUAUCCGGAUCGGGGACAGUGCAUGGUAGGCAGUUUGACUGGGGCGGUCUCCUCCCAAAGCGUAACGGAGGAGCACAAAGGUGGGCUAAGCAUGGUCGGACAUCAUGCGGUUAGUGUAAUGGCACAAGCCCGCUUAACUGCGAGACAGACACGUCGAGCAGGUACGAAAGUAGGUCAUAGUGAUCCGGUGGUUCUGUAUGGAAGGGCCAUCGCUCAACGGAUAAAAGCUACCCUGGGGAUAACAGGCUUAUCUCCCCCAAGAGUCCACAUCGACGGGGAGGUUUGGCACCUCGAUGUCGGCUCAUCACAUCCUGGGGCUGAAGCCGGUCCCAAGGGUAUGGCUGUUCGCCAUUUAAAGUGGUACGCGAGCUGGGUUUAGAACGUCGUGAGACAGUUCGGUCCCUAUCUGCCGUGGGCGUUGGAAAUUUGAAGGGGGCUGCUCCUAGUACGAGAGGACCGGAGUGGACG
rnacentral:rRNA from 13 species